UACGUAGGGGGCUAGCGUUGUCCGGAUUUAUUGGGCGUAAAGAGCGUGUAGGCGGCUUGGUAGGUCCGCUGUGAAAACUCGAGGCUCAACCUCGAGAUGUCGGCGGAAACCCCCUGGCUAGAGUCCGGAAGAGGAGAGUGGAAUUCCUGGUGUAGCGGUGAAAUGCGCAGAUAUCAGGAAGAACACCUAUGGCGAAGGCAGCUCUCUGGGACGGUACUGACGCUGAGACGCGAAAGCGUGGGGAGCGAACAGG
rnacentral:rRNA from 1 species